rnacentral:misc_RNA from 1 species
AGCAGGAAUUGAUCCUCGUUGAAUUGGCUUGUGGGUAGCACUAUUGUCCGGUUCUACCUCAUUUAUUAACCUGUGUCUCUUGCUUUGGCCUAUAGCUGCCUGUCUUGGGGAUGGAGCGGAACUGGGGCUAGUAAAAGAAAGUGCACUUCUGGCCUCUCGGAAGUCAGUGUCUGGAAAUGCAAUCUUCAAGAUGUCAAAAAA